rnacentral:misc_RNA from 1 species
AACGCACAUUGCGCCCCCUGGCAUUCCGGGGGGCAUGCCUGUCCGAGCGUCAUUGCUGCCCAUCAAGCCCGGCUUGUGUGUUGGGUCGUCGUCCCCCCCGGGGACGGGCCCGAAUGGCAGCGGCGGCACCGAGUCCGGUCCUCGAGCGUAUGGGGCUUUGUCACCCGCUCGAUUUAGGGCCGGCGGAGCGUCAGCCGACGUCCAGCCAUUUUUCUUCAGGUUGACCUCGGAGCAGGUAGAGAUACUCGCUGAA